CCCACCUCCCCUGCCUUUAAGAAGCUACCCAAAAGGCUGAUAUCACAGAGGAAGUGGGCUCUGGUCAGCUAAGCCUCAGAGCUUGCAAAAGCUUCCUUAGCCUGCCCUUCCUUCCACCCACUGAGUUGCUGUUUACCUCACCACCCAGAGGUGUGACCAAAGUUGCAGAUGGACACUGUCUUAGAAAAAAAGGAAGGGUCUACUGGAACAAAAGAUGCUGAGACUUGUCAACAUGUGUUAUGGUGUAGAUAUGAAGUGUCCCCCAAAAACUCAUGUGUGAGACAAUGAAAGAAAAUUUAAUAAUGAAUGAUUGGAUUAGAAUGGGGUUUAACCUAACCUGUGCAUUAAUCCCUGAUAGGGAUUAACUUGGUGGUAACUCAGAUGGGUAGGGUGUGGCUGGAAGAGGUGGGUCCCUGGGUCAUGCUUUUAGGGUUUAUAUUUUGUCCUUGUUGAGCAGAGUUCUCCGCUUCCUGGUGUCAAGUUCCCAUUGCUCUUCUCUGCCACACCCUUCCACCAUGAUGUCUGUCUAUGAACUGAGACCUCUGAAAC
rnacentral:lncRNA from 1 species